rnacentral:rRNA from 1 species
GACGUAGGGCGCAAGCGUUGUCCGGAUUUAUUGGGCGUAAAGAGCUCGUAGGCGGCUUGUUGCGUCGUCCGUGAAAACCCGCAGCUCAACUGCGGGCUUGCGGACGAUACGGGCAGGCUAGAGUUCGGUAGGGGAGACUGGAAUUCCUGGUGUAGCGGUGAAAUGCGCAGAUAUCAGGAGGAACACCGAUGGCGAAGGCAGGUCACUGGGCCGCAACUGACGCUGAGGAGCGAAAGCAUGGGGAGCGAACAGG